AUUGAACGCUGGCGGCAGGCCUAACACAUGCAAGUCGAACGAGCGGCGGACGGGUGAGUAAUGUCUGGGAAACUGCCCGAUGGAGGGGGAUAACUACUGGAAACGGUAGCUAAUACCGCAUACCAUCGGAUGAGCCCAGAUGGGAUUAGCUAGUAGGUGGGGUAACGGCUCACCUAGGCGACGAUCCAUAGCUGGUCUGAGAGGAUGACCAGCCACACUGGAACUGAGCCACGGUCCAGACUCCUACGGGAGGCAGCAGUGGGGAAGAUUGCACAAUGGGCGCAAGCCGUAUGCAGCCAUGCCGCGUGUAUGAAGAAGGCCUUCGGGUUGUAAAGUACUUUCAGCGAGGAGGCGUUACUCGCAGAAGAAGCACCGGCUAACUCCGUGCCAGUAGCCGCGGUAAUAC
rnacentral:rRNA from 1 species